UCUUUCGUAGUAUAGUGGUUAGUAUGCCAGCUUGUCAUCGCCAUCCGGUCAGCAACAACGCUGGAGACCCGGGUUCAAUUCCCGGCGAGAG
rnacentral:tRNA from 1 species